GUGAAUCAUCAAAUUUUUGAACGCAAAUUGCACUUUCCGGUCUUCCGGAGAGUAUGCCUGUUUGAGGGUCGGUAAAAUGAAACAUCGAUUUGUUGCUGAUGUCUUAACAUUUCGUGAUUGGGUUAAGUUGAUCAUAAGUGACCUAAAAUGCAUUACUCACUUCGGUAUGAUUAACUUUAUUAAUGAUUUCAUUUUGAUGCCUGAUUUGAUUAUAUGUGAC
rnacentral:misc_RNA from 1 species